rnacentral:rRNA from 1 species
UACGGAGGGUGCAAGCGUUAUCCGGAUUCACUGGGUUUAAAGGGCUCGUAGGUGGCCAACUAAGUCGGACGUGAAAUCCCUCAGCUUAACUGGGGAACUGCGUCCGAUACUGGAUGGCUCGAGUUUGGGAGAGGGAUGCGGAAUUCCAGGUGUAGCGGUGAAAUGCGUAGAUAUCUGGAGGAACACCGGUGGCGAAGGCGGCAUCCUGGACCAACACUGACACUGAGGAGCGAAAGCCAGGGGAGCAAACGGG